UAAAUUGGAGCUAAAAUCAUCUUUUCUUUGAAAGGAAAAAAUUAUACUCCCUCGAUAGGACCUCAAUAGAGAAAAAGUGUUGCGAUAUAUAUCGGAACAGUUUUACUGUGCUGAUAUAUAUCGCAAAAGUUUUUUUCUAAUGAAACUGUAUAGAGAUUUCUGUGUUGAUAUAUCAUAUCGUAACAGUUUUGUAAAAUAUCAGCACAGAUUUUGUAGUAUUAAUGUGUGUUACCACGUUUAACCCUUAGCGUGCUGGCGGCAAGUGUCUAUGCCUUUGCGACCAGUGCAGACAAAGAUCAGCCUGCACAUCCGUGCAGUCUGAUCAUAGUCUGCACUGUUCACUAUUUAGUCUGUAAAUUUUCAGUGAACACCCCUUUUAACAGUUAAUGGUUCUGUCCAAAUUGGAACAUGGACAAGUUCAUUAUAGAAAUUUAGCAGGGUAAGGGUUAACAUACUGCAAAGAUCAAAGGAAAACUGCCGCACUAUGCAAUAAUGAUUAUUAUUCAGAGUAAAAGACUCAAAAAAUAUUUCAGCAAAUAAUGGUUAUUAGAAAAUAGUUAAAAUAAAGAAAAUGUACAGAAUUACGUACUUUCAAGAUAAAAGCUAUAACUGACACGUAACGUCAUGACGUCAUUUUAAGGCAACAUUGUUUUGAAGCGUUUCUGCAGCAAUUUAUUCAUUAUUUCUGCAUUAUUAAACCAUAAAGCAUCAGAUCGAAGACAAGUUCAUGAUUUGUUUUCAGAAGAAUGAAUAUACAAACACAUUUAGUUUGUCGUUAACGUCGUCGUAAAUCGUCAUGUUAGCUUCUGGUUGGACAUGCGCACAUACAAAUAUGAAGGUAAUCUACCUCCUUAAACUAACAGAAAAGGUUUGGUGCUCUCUAAACCCUGAUAAAGAAAUACAUAUUUAUUGAAAUAUUGAAAUACAGGUAUAACAUUUCUUCCUUAAUUAUUUUUAUAGAAGUCUUCAGACAUAAGUAAAUUAUGGCUAUGUUAUCAAUAUAGGAAGUAAAUUCCAUAACCAAAUAAGGUUGUAAAACCUAAGUCUUCUUACAACCAGGAAGUACUUGUCUUAUAAAUCUAGUUCAUACAUAAUACAAUACCGUCAACUUCAUAAUUUCUCUCUACUUUUUUCAUCCUAGUAAAAAUUUUUGAUUUUACCAUAGAAAGUUUUCAAGAAAGAGGAUAAUAAGUGGUCAUACUGACUAUACAGGAAACAUAACUCUUGUUAGUUUUUUAACUCUGGUCAUAUCAAAAUGAUUGUUCAAAUCACAGAACAAUUCACAUCAGAGGAUAAGGAAGUCAAUAAAAUUUAUUUAUUGUUCUAAAGUAACAUUUAUGUUUCAAGUGGCACAAACUUUGAGAAUUGUGAAAUAAUAAAAUAAAUAUACUGCAAUAAUAAGGACAAAGAUAAAUAGCAGUGACCAGGAAUAGUUGGGCCACAGGCUUGCAGAUGGUUUAGGAGAGUCUCAUGUACUAGUAAGCUGGGGACACUGUCUUUAAAAUUGACAUUUCAACUUUGGCCCAUAUUGGGGCACCAGAUUUUGUUUCAGAACACUACAAUUACUUUUUACAUUAGUUGCGGAGUAAAUUCUAUAGAAUAAGUUUGAAGUAUCACCCUAAAUAUUGCCCUACAGCAAGAUAAAUAGAUAUUUAAAUACAUAUCUAUACAUGCUGUGUAUGCUUCAACUACCUCAUAAAAGCAGGUGUUACAUUAUGGAAUCUGAUAUCAAAAUAGUUGUCAGAUUACUCAAUUAAAUAUAAUGCUCUCACAUCUUUUUUAUUAUAACCUUAAAUUUAUUUGGUUUCAGAUUAUUUUAAGCGAGUACUGAGAUACUAGCUUACAUACAAAACCUUCUAAGUCGAAAAAAGGCCAUAAUUUUGUAAAAAAGAACAUACGGACAUGUCCAAUAACUACUAUUCUUUGAAUAAUCGAGAUAAAAAUUACAUAAGUGACAAUAUUGUAUGGAUUUUCUGUCUGUCUGACAGUACAUUGGAUAUAAAUUUACUCAGAGCAGAUUCUGACAAUGCACUGGCUACACACUGGCAAUAUACCCAUCUUAGCAAUUUUCACAGCAAAACAAAUAUUACAAGACACCUUAUCAAAAUGGCCGAGUAGGUAUUGCAUUUUUCCCUCCAAAACUAUUUUCAGUCAGUAGUUUUCCAGCAUUGAUGGGCACAUAGUAAAGGUCUGGAAAUAAACUGACAAGUACAUGGACACAUGAUGGUUAUUCAGUGGCAACACUCUGGAUCAUUUAUUGUCAGCUCUGGAAAUAGGCUGGCAAGUAUCUGGAUUUAAGAGUAUUAUUCACUGGAAACAAACUGGCCAUAAACUGACCAUACACUGACAAUAGGGAAGCAAAAACAGAUGCAGGGAGUGAAUUAGCAUCAUUACAAGAAAUACCAGAGAGAAGUAUUUUGGCAACAUCUAGGUGUUUAUGAGUCUUUCAGAACAAUUGUAUAUCAAUUAUGUCUAAAAAAUCUCAUAGUUACCUUUGCCUGGGAAACAUACUGUCUGGGAAUGGCUACUUUAUAUGUAAUGACAUGAUGGUCCUCAUGCAAUGUGAAAUGUACUGUAAUCUAUGCGUAGCGCUUAUAAGAUAUGAUUUUGAUCAGACUGUAAAGAUCCUUAACCCUUACCCUGCUAAUUUCUAUAAUGAACUUGUCUAUCUUUCAAUUUAGACAGUAUCAUUAACUGUUAAAAAGGGUGUUUACCAAAAAUAUACUGACUUAAUGGCGAUCCGUGCAGUCUGAUCAUGAUCUACACUGGUAGCAAAGGCAGAAUAAAUUGUGCCCAGCAUGAUAAGGGUUAAAAUCAAAUUACUGUACAUGACAACUGCAUGUGCAUGACAUACUUAUUUCCUUAUAUAUGUGAUGAAAUGUAUCCAAUCAACAUGAUCAAGCUAAUUA